GGAGGCGUAGUGUAGCGGUUAACAUGCCUGCCUGUCACGCAGGAGAUCGUGGGUUCGAAUCCCAUCGUCUCCGCCA
rnacentral:tRNA from 1 species